UACAGAGGGUGCAAGCGUUAAUCGGAAUUACUGGGCGUAAAGCGUGCGCAGACGGUUGCGUAAGUCAGAUGUGAAAUCCCCGGGCUCAACCUGGGAACUGCAUUUGUGACUGCACGGCUGGAGUGCGGCAGAGGGGGAUGGAAUUCCGCGUGUAGCAGUGAAAUGCGUAGAUAUGCGGAGGAACACCGAUGGCGAAGGCAAUCCCCUGGGCCUGCACUGACGCUCAUGCACGAAAGCGUGGGGAGCAAACAGG
rnacentral:rRNA from 1 species